UGGAUCCAGACUUUGAUCCUGGCUCAGGACGAACGCUGGCGGCGUGCCUAAUACAUGCAAGUCGAACGAAGCUUUCUUUCACCGAAUGCUUGCAUUCACCGAAAGAAGCUUAGUGGCGAACGGGUGAGUAACACGUAGGCAACCUGCCCAAAAGAGGGGGAUAACACUUGGAAACAGGUGCUAAUACCGCAUAACCAUGAACACCGCAUGAUGUUCAUGUAAAAGACGGCUUUUGCUGUCACUUUUGGAUGGGCCUGCGGCGUAUUAACUUGUUGGUGGGGUAACGGCCUACCAAGGUGAUGAUACGUAGCCGAACUGAGAGGUUGAUCGGCCACAUUGGGACUGAGACACGGCCCAAACUCCUACGGGAGGCAGCAGUAGGGAAUCUUCCACAAUGGACGAAAGUCUGAUGGAGCAACGCCGCGUGAAUGAAGAAGGCCUUCGGGUCGUAAAAUUCUGUUGUCAGAGAAGAACGUGCGUGAGAGUAACUGUUCACGUAUUGACGGUAUCUGACCAGAAAGCCACGGCUAACUACGUGCCAGCAGCCGCGGUAAUACGUAGGUGGCAAGCGUUGUCCGGAUUUAUUGGGCGUAAAGGGAACGCAGGCGGUCUUUUAAGUCUGAUGUGAAAGCCUUCGGCUUAACCGAAGUAGUGCAUUGGAAACUGGAAGACUUGAGUGCAGAAGAGGAGAGUGGAACUCCAUGUGUAGCGGUGAAAUGCGUAGAUAUAUGGAAGAACACCAGUGGCGAAAGCGGCUCUCUGGUCUGUAACUGACGCUGAGGUUCGAAAGCGUGGGUAGCAAACAGGAUUAGAUACCCUGGUAGUCCACGCCGUAAACGAUGAGUGCUAAGUGUUGGAGGGUUUCCGCCCUUCAGUGCUGCAGCUAACGCAUUAAGCACUCCGCCUGGGGAGUACGGUCGCAAGACUGCAACUCAAAUGAAUUGACGGA
rnacentral:rRNA from 1 species